GGCGAGAUAGCUUAGUUGGCUAGAGCACACGGUUCAUACCCGUGGUGUCGAGGGUUCGAAUCCCCCUCUCGCUA
rnacentral:tRNA from 1 species